AUGAACGCUGGCGGCGUGCCUAAUCCAUGCAAGUCGAGCGAACAGACGAGGAGCUUGCUCCUCUGACGUUAGCGGCGGACGGGUGAGUAACACGUGGAUAACCUACCUAUAAGAUUGGGAUAACUUCGGGAAACCGGAGCUAAUACCGGAUAAUAUAUUGAACCGCAUGGUUCAAUAGUGAAAGACGGUUUUGCUGUCACUUAUAGAUGGAUCCGCGCCGCAUUAGCUAGUUGGUAAGGUAACGGCUUACCAAGGCGACGAUGCGUAGCCGACCUGAGAGGGUGAUCGGCCACACUGGAACUGAGACACGGUCCAGACUCCUACGGGAGGCAGCAGUAGGGAAUCUUCCGCAAUGGGCGAAAGCCUGACGGAGCAACGCCGCGUGAGUGAUGAAGGUCUUCGGAUCGUAAAACUCUGUUAUUAGGGAAGAACAAAUGUGUAAGUAACUAUGCACGUCUUGACGGUACCUAAUCAGAAAGCCACGGCUAACUACGUG
rnacentral:rRNA from 1 species